rnacentral:rRNA from 1 species
GACUACUGGGGUAUCUAAGCCCGUUCGCUACCCACGCUUUCGCACAUGAGCGUCAGUUCAGUGCCAGGGUGCCGCUUUCGCCACUGGUAUUCCUCCCGAUAUCUACGCAUUCCACCACUACACCGGGAAUUCUGCACCCCUCUCACUGCCUCAAGCCAAACAGUUUCCAACGACCUCUCCCAGUUAAGCCAGGAGCUUUCACGUCAGACUUAUUCGGCCGCCUGCGCGCGCUUUACGCCCAGUAAUUCCGGAUAACGCUUGCCACCUACGUAUUACCGCGGCUGCUGGCACGUAGUUAGCCGUGACUUAUUCCUGGGGUACCGUCCUUCCUCUUCCCCCAGAAAAGGAGUUUACGACCCGAAGGCCUUCAUCCUCCACGCGGCGUUGCUGCAUCAGGGUUGCCCCCAUUGUGCAAUAUUCCUCACUGCAGCCCCCCGUAGG